rnacentral:lncRNA from 1 species
CCUUUUUGUCGCGGACUAGGCAAAGUUUUGUAACAUAUACAUUCGUCCUGUUUUCCUGUAUAGCGGACUGACAGCAGACUGAAAGUGCAGCAGAUUUCAAGUGGGAUUUUAAAGCUAAAUGCUGACAUGUCGUCCACAAAACAGUGUAUUUCAUGUAAUCGCGAGGUUAGUAUCUGAAUGCAGAGCACAUGAAGUUUUGUUGUAUGUUUAAUUUAAAUUCAGAAAUAUUAAUUGCAGUGGCAUUUAAUUAAGGCUCGGUGAAUCGAGGAUGAGAGUACGUUGACUGGAAUUGAAGAGAGUUUUAACUUCCCCUCGCGUUUGACCGCAAACUCUAUAUAUACAGUGUACAUCUCAUCUAUCGACUCUCAUUCGGCUCUCAUCAUCUUUGAGCUGGAUCAAAUUUUGACGAGAGUUGAUGCAUGGGAGUCAGUUUUGCUCGUAGUUUGAGUGCAACUCUCACACAACUCUUGUUCUCGUUUGACCGGGGUAUAUAAAUAUAAGAGAUGAGAAAAUUCUCUUAUACACAAUGCCUUCGUUUCUCAACUCUAGAGCAUCUUCGUUUGACCGGGAGAUUUAUUCUAAAUCAUCGCACAUUAAUUCCGUGUAGGCCUAUAACUAUAUCAGCGUAUAGAAUUUCUUCCGCUUUCCAAGUUUUCUGCAUGUCGUAGGUUUAAUUCGUAUGAUUUGGUAUAUUUGCAUGUAUAUUCUCAGACAAGGUUAAUUAAUAUAUAAAGAAAUAUUAGACACAUGAAUUGAUUGUGCUUCCUGAAAAAGUCGUAGAAACAAUUCGACGUUGCACGCAAGCGAAGGCUCUUCGGCUUUGUCAACACUGAAGAGGUUUCGUUAUAUACUAGCCAUUUUUUCAGAAACAAACCAUAUGGCAUCUUGACCUAUAUAUAGCUAGAAUUCAAGACUAUGGUCUAGAUAUAACUAUAUACAUGCAGCUAUGCCCAUGCGCCUCAGAAACUUGCCUAAUUAUACGUUAGAGUCGACUUGUUUUGUGUAAAAUAUUAUUAUAGUGUGUUAAUAUUAUUUAUUCAGAUGCCAAUCUCAAGUGAAUCAUGUGUUUGUGGUCACGUAUUAUCAGAUAUCAAGUCCUUGGAAGGAAAAAGAUAUUCUGG